AUUUUUAUGGUGUAGUAAACACAUUACAUUUUCAUUGUAAAACCAAAGGUUUCAACCCUUUUAAAAAUA
rnacentral:tRNA from 1 species